rnacentral:tRNA from 1 species
GCUCCCAUGGCGUAGUGGUCACUGCGCUCGCCUUGCAAGCGGGAGAUCCGGGAUCGAUUCCCGGCGGGGUCA